AUUGAACGCUGGCGGCAGGCCUAACACAUGCAAGUCGAGCGGAUGAAGGGAGCUUGCUCCUGGAUUCAGCGGCGGACGGGUGAGUAAUGCCUAGGAAUCUGCCUGGUAGUGGGGGAUAACGUCCGGAAACGGGCGCUAAUACCGCAUACGUCCUGCGGGAGAAAGUGGGGGAUCUUCGGACCUCACGCUAUCAGAUGAGCCUAGGUCGGAUUAGCUAGUUGGUGGGGUAAAGGCCUACCAAGGCGACGAUCCGUAACUGGUCUGAGAGGAUGAUCAGUCACACUGGAACUGAGACACGGUCCAGACGCCUACGGGAGGCAGCAGUGGGGAAUAUUGGACAAUGGGCGAAAGCCUGAUCCAGCCAUGCCGCGUGUGUGAAGAAGGUCUUCGGAUUGUAAAGCACUUUAAGUUGGGAGGAAGGGCAGUAAGUUAAUACCUUGCUGUUUUGACGUUACCAACAGAAUAAGCACCGGCUAACUUCGUG
rnacentral:rRNA from 1 species